rnacentral:rRNA from 1 species
AUACGGAGGGUGCAAGCGUUAAUCGGAAUUACUGGGCGUAAAGCGCGCGUAGGUGGUUUGGUAAGUCGGAUGUGAAAGCCCCGGGCUUAACCUGGGAAUUGCAUUCGAUACUGCUUGACUAGAGUGUGGUAGAGGGAAGUGGAAUUCCGCAUGUAGCGGUGAAAUGCGUAGAGAUGCGGGGGAACACCAAUGGCGAAGGCAACUUCCUGGACCAACACUGACACUGAGGUGCGAAAGCGUGGGUAGCAAACAGGAUUAGAUACCCUGGUAGUCCACGCCGUAAACGAUGUCAACUAGCCGUUGGGGGCGUUUGGCCCCUAGUGGCGCAGCUAACGCGAUAAGUUGACCGCCUGGGGAGUACGGCCGCAAGGUUAAA